rnacentral:lncRNA from 1 species
UUAACAGGUGUUAAAGUGUGCAUCUGUAUUCUGUAAACCUUGUGGCAUGCCAUAGUAAUAAGCUGAUAGCAAACUUCAGGCAACAUAACUCGUUUUUUUAUGAUACUACAGGCAACACAACUCUUCGACCAAAGCUACAAAACGGCUUAUCUCUGUUUUUUUCACCAAAACCUUAUAUUCCACCCAUCUCAGGGAACUUGGGCACAUCUCUGGGUGCGCAAUUAAAGGAGACAUGGAAGCAAAACAAACAGCUAUUUCCAAAAGAAUUAAUCUCUCCACCAAAACUGUUGUUCCAGGCAUCACGUGACAGUGCACAACAAAGGGAGAAACACAGACAGAUAUUCCCGAAAAUUCUCUCCUCCAAAAAAGUUGUUCCAGGCAUCUCAGGGAAUUUGUGUGAUGGUGCACAACAAAAUGAGAAACACAGCAGCAACACGGACAACUAUUUCCCAGAGAAAUAAACUUGCCGCAAAAAAUGUCGUUCCAGGCAUCUUGAGUAACUAAUACGGUUAUUUCCAGCAAAAGUCCUCCUGAGUUGUAUGUCACAAGAAUCCCGCAG